CUGGGCUGGUUCGUCGUACUUCCGAUCUGAUGAGGAAAUUCACCAUUAUUGUGCCAGAUGAUGGUACAUUGGUGUGCACUUUUCUUCUAGUAAGACGUUGCGAUCCAUUAAAAAAGCAAUUUAAAUCUGUAUAUAGGCCCCGAUAGGAGUUUAUACAUUAAGCGAGUAACAUAGCUUUGUUGUUAUGUGAAUGCGUGUAAACUAUUUGGUGUUCUUACAGAUGUCUGAUGGUAUAUUGACGAGUGUCCCAUACAAUUCCUUGUGAAUUGACAUUCUUUAUGUGGAUGUAAUGUGUACAUUAUCAGCAACGUUUUAAAUUAAGGAUACCAUCAGGACCCGUCUUGAAACACGGACCAAAAAGUCUAACUUGUAUGCAAGUCAAUGGGAUUUUUAAAACCUAUAGGCAAAAUGAAAUUAACUUGUUAAGGGGAUUACAAAGGGUGUAUUAAUUAUACUGUUUUUCCCCCCCCGGGUAUCUUAAUGUAAGUACUGUACUCUCGGUUGCGUGUACUACAAAAAUAUACCGUGAGCAUACAAGCUGUGACCCGAAAGAUGGUGAACUAUGCCUGAUCAGGUUGAAGUCAGGAGAAACCCUGAUGGAAGACCGUAACACUUCUGACGUGCAAAUCUAUUGUCAGAGUUGGGUAUAGGGACAAAACGACCCAUCGAACCCUCUAGUAGCUGGUUCCUUACGAA
rnacentral:rRNA from 1 species